AGGUUAACCAUCUAGGGGAGCCGUAGGGAAACCGAGUCUUAACUGGGCGUUCAGUCUCUGGAUAUAGACCCGAAACCAGGUGAUCUAGCCAUGGGCAGGUUGAAGGUUGAGUAACAUCAACUGGAGGACCGAACCGACUAAUGUUGAAAAAUUAGCGGAUGACUUGUGGCUAGGGGUGAAAGGCCAAUCAAACCUGGAGAUAGCUGGUUCUCCCCGAAAGCUAUUUAGGUAGCGCCUCGGACGAAUACUACUGGGGGUAGAGCACUGUUAAGGCUAGGGGGUCAUCCCGACUUACCAACCCUUUGCAAACUCCGAAUACCAGUAAGUACUAUCCGGGAGACACACGGCGGGUGCUAACGUCCGUCGUGGAGAGGGAAACAACCCAGACCGCCAGCUAAGGUCCCAAAUUACUACUAAG
rnacentral:rRNA from 1 species